ACUCCUGCGGGAGGCAGCAGUGGGGAAUUUUGGACAAUGGGCGAAAGCCUGAUCCAGCAAUGCCGCGUGCAGGAUGAAGGCCUUCGGGUUGUAAACUGCUUUUGUACGGAACGAAAAAGCUCCUUCUAAUACAGGGGGCCCAUGACGGUACCGUAAGAAUAAGCACCGGCUAACUACGUGCCAGCAGCCGCGGUAAUACGUAGGGUGCGAGCGUUAAUCGGAAUUACUGGGCGUAAAGCGUGCGCAGGCGGUUAUGUAAGACAGAUGUGAAAUCCCCGGGCUCAACCUGGGAACUGCAUUUGGGACUGCAUGGCUAGAGUACGGUAGAGGGGGAUGGAAUUCCGCGUGUAGCAGUGAAAUGCGUAGAUAUGCGGAGGAACACCGAUGGCGAAGGCAAUCCCCUGGACCUGUACUGACGCUCAUGCACGAAAGCGUGGGGAGCAAACAGGAUUAGAUACCCGGGUAGUCCC
rnacentral:rRNA from 1 species